rnacentral:rRNA from 1 species
UUUGGAUGUAAAGUAUUAUAAACUGGAGUAGUAUUAGUUUAAGGUCUUGAAACUUAAAGAAUUUGGCGGUAUUUUAGUCCAUUUAGAGGAAUCUGUUCCGUGAUCGAUAAUCCGCGUUGGACCUUACUUGGAUUAAUUUAGUAUGUAUACCGCUGUUGUUGAAGAUCUUUGUAGGGAGUAUAAUUUUUAUAACUUUUAUUUAAUAAUGUUUCAGGUCAAGGUGCAGCUUAUAUUUAAGUGGUGAUGGAUUACAAUAUUUGUGUAUAAACGGAUUAUUGAUUGAUAUGAUUAAUAUGAAGGUGGAUUUAAUAGUAAUAUUAUUUAGAAUACUAAUAUGAUUAAAGGCUCUAUAAUAUGU